GCCGGCCAGUGAAUCAGUAAGCUCUUGCCUGGGCAGCAGCCGAAGCUGUAACAAAACAAUAGCCAGGGAGAACCAGGAGCAGGGAUGGAGCACUGAACAAACAGGUGCAUUGGAUCAAGUAAAUCACUCCUUUGGUACGGCAGAGAAUCACCAUCAAAAACCAUCCGAUUUUUUGUAGCCAAAGUGUGAAGAAAUGCUGGCGAGUUGAAGAUUACAUAACACAAAUGUCAAAAGUGGAAUGUUACAUCAUCUAAUACAUUAUAAAAUUGAGAGCUUCCCCCAUGAACUAGAUACCUACCGCUACUGAAGAAAAUGCCCUGCAUUGAAAUGCCCUGCAUUGAAAUGCCCUGCAUUGAAACGCAUCUAGCAUACCAGUACUGUACCCAUCUGACAUAUACUGCUUGCACAUUACUUCAAUAACCUAAUUUGCUACCUACCACUUGCAACUGCUGGAUGCCCCUACUCCGGAGACCACUACAACACGCGCGCAUAGUGCCGCGUUCACACGUGGACGCCUUCUCCAGCCAAAUCUACAAACAACUGCUCACAGCCCCGGUUUGCGUACGGAGUCCCGGACAUCACCAUCACUACAGGCCGGACGCCAACCGUGCCAGUUUGGGACCCAGAGACCACCGGAGAUCUUGCCACUCACCUCCUACCCAGACGGGCAUCCUUCUCAGCGCAGAACACAGCUGUUCCCAGCGCAGGACACAGCCGUGCCAGCCCGAGCAGAGGUAAAACUCCGUGGAUGGUGAGUGGUGCUGUGCACCGAUCAUAAUAUACUAAAACAGCGCUGAAACAACUGAACUGCCAAUGAACUUUGCCAAUGUAUGAACUAUAAGUGAAAUAUUAAGGCAUCCCA